UACGAAGGGGGCUAGCGUUGCUCGGAAUCACUGGGCGUAAAGCGCACGUAGGCGGAUUGCUAAGUCAGGGGUGAAAUCCUGGAGCUCAACUCCAGAACUGCCUUUGAUACUGGCGAUCUUGAGUCCGGGAGAGGUGAGUGGAACUGCGAGUGUAGAGGUGAAAUUCGUAGAUAUUCGCAAGAACACCAGUGGCGAAGGCGGCUCACUGGUCCGGUACUGACGCUGAGGUGCGAAAGCGUGGGGAGCAAACAGG
rnacentral:rRNA from 1 species